rnacentral:rRNA from 1 species
AUAUUGUGCAAUGGAGGGAACUCCGUCGCCGCGACGCCGCGCGAGCGAGGAAGGUCUUCUGAUCGGAAAGCCCCUCCCUUGGGGAAGAAGGGAGCCGUAAGGCUUUUUGACGGUACCCCUGGAGGAAGCCCCGGGCAACUACGGGCCCGCUGCCGCGGUCAUACGAAGGGGGCAAGCGUUAAUCGGAAUUACUGGGCGUAAAGCGCGCGUAGGUGGUUCGUUAAGUUGGAAGUGAAAGCCCCGGGCUUAACCUGGGAAUUGCUUUCAAAACUGACGAGCUAGAGUACGGUAGAGGGUAGUGGAAUUUCCUGUGUAGCGGUGAAAUGCGUAGAGAUUAGGAGGAACACCAGUGGCGAAGGCGACUUUCUGGACUGUAACUGACGCUGAGGUACGAAAGCGUGGGUAGCGAACA